CAGCUCUUUAUCUUUACCAUUACUGUCCUUGGCCAUGUCUAAGGCUAUUGGGAUCUUGCUGGCAAGCAAAAAUGGAGGCCACUGUAUGAGUUCCAAAUCUUGGUCAGCCCAAUAUGGAACAAGCAACAAAUCCAUUUCCCUAUUGCUUAUUAGAUCUUCGUCUCUAAAGCUACUGAUAAUUUUGUUCCACAACUGGGCAAAUCUCGCUGCCUCCUUAUUUUUGCUAGAAGGGAUCACAGCAAAAUUGCGAGACAAACUGGCCUUCAAUCCUUU
rnacentral:misc_RNA from 1 species